rnacentral:rRNA from 1 species
GAUGAACGCUGGCUACAGGCUUAACACAUGCAAGUCGAGGGGAAACGACGGGGAAGCUUGCUUCCCCGGGCGUCGACCGGCGCACGGGUGAGUAACGCGUAUCCAACCUGCCUCUGACUGAGGGAUAACCCGUCGAAAGUCGGCCUAAUACCUCAUGGUAUCGUCUGCGGGCAUCCAACGACGAUUAAAGAUUUCAUCGGUCAGGGAUGGGGAUGCGUCUGAUUAGCUUGUUGGCGGGGUAACGGCCCACCAAGGCUACGAUCAGUAGGGGUUCUGAGAGGAAGGGCCCCCACAUUGGAACUGAGGCACGGUCCAAACUCCUACGGGAGGCAGCAGUGAGGAAUAUUGAUCAAUGGGCGAGAGCCUGAACCAGCCAAGUAGCGUGCAGGAAGACGGCCCUAUGGGUUGUAAACUGCUUUUAUGCGGGGAUAAAGUGAGGGACGUGUCCCUCAUUGCAGGUACCGCAUGAAUAAGGACCGGCUAAUUCCGUG